rnacentral:rRNA from 1 species
UACGUAGGGUCCGAGCGUUGUCCGGAAUUAUUGGGCGUAAAGGGCUCGUAGGCGGUUUGUUGCGUCGGGAGUGAAAACUUACAGCUUAACUGUGAGCGUGCUUCCGAUACGGGCAGACUUGAGGUAUUCAGGGGAGAACGGAAUUCCUGGUGUAGCGGUGAAAUGCGCAGAUAUCAGGAGGAACACCGGUGGCGAAGGCGGUUCUCUGGGAAUAUCCUGACGCUGAGGAGCGAAAGUGUGGGGAGCGAACGGG